rnacentral:miRNA from 1 species
CAGUGUCAUGUCAGUGUCAUGGUCAGUUACAUGUCAGUAUUAUAUCAGUAUUAUCAUAAUACUGACAUGAUAAUGACAUGUUCCUGACCAUGACACUGACAUUAUACCGUCA